rnacentral:rRNA from 1 species
UACGAAGGGGGCUAGCGUUGUUCGGAAUCACUGGGCGUAAAGGGCGCGUAGGCGGCGCGACAAGUCAGGCGUGAAAGCCCCGGGCUCAACCCGGGAAUUGCGCUUGAUACUGUCGUGCUUGAGGCCGGGAGAGGAUGGCGGAAUUCCCAGUGUAGAGGUGAAAUUCGUAGAUAUUGGGAAGAAUACCGAUGGCGAAGGCAGCCCCCUGGGAUAACACUGACGCUCAUGCACGAAAGCGUGGGGAGCAAACGGG